rnacentral:snRNA from 8 species
AUCGCUUCUCGGCCUUUUGGCUCAGAUCAAGUGUAGUAUCUGUUCUUAUCAGUUUAAUAUCUGAUACGUCCCCGAAUUCCACCACAC